GGCUUUGUCUGACUUGGGGUCUCAGGCUUUGGUAGGUGUUGUGGCUUUGUCUGACUUGGGGUCUGAGGCUUUGAUUGGUGUUGUGGCUUUGUCUGACUUGGGGUCUGAGGCUUUGGUAGGUGUUGUGGUUCAGGCUGACUUGUGGUCUGAGGCUUUGAUAGGUGUUGUGGCUUUGUCUGACUUGGGGUCUGAGGCUUUGGUAGGUGUUGUGGCUUUGUCUGACUUGGAUUCUGAGGCUUUGAUAGGUGUUGUGGUUCAGACUGACUUGGGGUCUCAGGCUUUGAUAGGUGUGCUUCAGGCUGACUUGGGGUCUGGGGCUUUGAUAGGUGUUGUGGUUCAGGCUGACUUGUGGUCUGAGGCUUUGAUGGGUGUUGUGGCUUUGUCUGAC